rnacentral:rRNA from 1 species
GAUGAACGCUGGCGGCGUGCUUAACACAUGCAAGUCGAACGAGAAGUGAAGACGGAAACCUUCGGGCGGAAGGCUUUACUUCGAGUUGCGGACGGGUGAGUAACGCGUGGGUAACCUGCCUCAUACAGGGGGAUAACUGUUGGAAACGACUGUUAAUACCGCAUAAGACCACAGCACCGCAAGGUGCGGGGGUCAAAAUUCCGGUGGUAUGAGAUGGACCCGCGUUCGAUUAGCCAGUUGGCGGGGUAACGGCCCACCAAAGCGACGAUCGAUAGCCGAGCUGAGAGGAUGACCGGCCACAUUGGGACUGAGACACGGACCAAACUCCUACGGGAGGCAGCAGUGGAGAAUAUUGCACAAUGGGGGAAAACCUGAUGCAGCGACGCCGCGUGAGUGAAGAAGUAUUUCGGUAUGUAAAGCUCUAUCAGCAGGGAAGAAAAUGACGGUACCUGAGUAAGAAGCCCCGGCUAACUACGUG